AAAGGACAAAUUAUAAGAAUUAGACGCUAAGUGAUUAGAUGAUUAAGUUUCACGUAUGAAGAGUUUAUCUGAUGAAAUUUAGUGAAUAAUAGGAGGUGUCUAAGAUUUAAACUCAAAGCUCCAAGAAACUUUUAUAUCAAUAAUAUCAUUUCAAGCAACCACUGAAUUUAAAUUUUCAAAUUUGUCAAUGACUGUUCAAGAAUGAGUUUUAAUUUCCAACAGUAUAAAAGUUUCAAAACUUUUCAAUUUUCUCGCCAUUUUCGCCUGUAGGAGGCCCUCAAUGGUUAUAGGGUCCUUGAGAAAAAAUUU
rnacentral:misc_RNA from 1 species